rnacentral:rRNA from 1 species
GAUCAUGGCUCAGGAUGAACGCUAGCUACAGGCUUAACACAUGCAAGUCGCGGGGCAGCAUGGGGGUUGCUUGCAAUCCCUGAUGGCGACCGGCGCACGGGUGAGUAACGCGUAUCCAACCUGCCCUUCACCACGGGAUAACCCGGCGAAAGUCGGACUAAUACCGUAUGUUGUCCAUUGACGGCAUCCGAUUUGGACGAAAGGCUUUGCGGUGAGGGAUGGGGAUGCGUCCGAUUAG